UGACUGCUGGAAGUUGCUACAGCAGCACAACGAUACAGAGAAGAUUAGCUUGGCCCCUGCACAAGGAUGAUGCAAAACUACUGGAAAUCAAAGAUGUCGUA
ensembl:snRNA U6 U6 spliceosomal RNA